UUCUCGGGUUUCUGGGCGCUCCCAAAUCCAGGACAAGCCCCCAAAAAUGUAAGACCCCCUUUCGGGGACCCCUACUCUAGUCUCAGGAGUGAGAGAGCACCCAAAGAAACACGAGAAUCC
rnacentral:pre_miRNA from 7 species